rnacentral:rRNA from 1 species
AGUGAUGCGGAGGCCUAACACAUGCAAGUCGAGCGCUCACUUCGGUGGGAGCGGCGGACGGGUUAGUAACGCGUGGGAACGUGCCCAGAUCUAAGGAAUAGCCACUGGAAACGGUGAGUAAUACCUUAUACGCCCUUCGGGGGAAAGAUUUAUCGGAUUUGGAUCGGCCCGCGUUAGAUUAGAUAGUUGGUGGGGUAAUGGCCUACCAAGUCUACGAUCUAUAGCUGGUUUUAGAGGAUGAUCAGCAACACUGGGACUGAGACACGGCCCAGACUCCUACGGGAGGCAGCAGUGGGGAAUCUUGGACAAUGGGGGCAACCCUGAUCCAGCCAUGCCGCGUGAGUGAUGAAGGCCUUAGGGUCGUAAAGCUCUUUCGCCAGGGAUGAUAAUGACAGUACCUGGUAAAGAAACCCCGGCUAACUCCGUGCCAGCAGCCGCGGUAAUACGGAGGGGGUUAGCGUUGUUCGGAAUUACUGGGCGUAAAGCGCGCGUAGGCGGAUUGGAAAGUUGGGGGUGAAAUCCCGGGGCUCAACCCCGGAACUGCCUCCAAAACUAUCAGUCUAGAGUUCGAGAGAGGUGAGUGGAAUUCCGAGUGUAGAGGUGAAAUUCGUAGAUAUUCGGAGGAACACCAGUGGCGAAGGCGGCUCACUGGCUCGAUACUGACGCUGAGGUGCGAAAGUGUGGGGAGCAAACAGGAUUAGAUACCCUGGUAGUCCACACCGUAAACGAUGAAUGCCAGUCGUCGGCAAGCAUGCUUGUCGGUGACACACCUAACGGAUUAAGCAUUCCGCCUGGGGAGUACGGUCGCAAGAUUAAAACUCAAG